UACGUAGGGCGCAAGCGUUGUCCGGAAUUAUUGGGCGUAAAGAGCUCGUAGGCGGUUUGUCGCGUCUGCUGUGAAAACUCAGGGCUUAACCCUGAGCCUGCAGUGGGUACGGGCAGACUAGAGUGUGGUAGGGGAGAUCGGAAUUCCUGGUGUAGCGGUGAAAUGCGUAGAGAUCUGGAGGAACACCGAUGGCGAAGGCAGCCUUCUGGGCCAACACUGACGCUCAUGCACGAAAGCGUGGGGAGCAAACAGG
rnacentral:rRNA from 1 species